GAGCAAGGGCGUCAAUUUAUGACGAACCACUUGCAUUGAAGGUUGGCGAAAUAUUAAGCGAUUCUCCGUGCCUUUCAAAUCUCGUUGGUUUUGAUUACGGCCUCGAACAUCUCGCGAAAUU